AGCUAAAAAGGGCGCAAGGUGAAUGCCUUGGCACUGGGAGCCGAUGAAAGACGUGAUAAGCUGCGAUAAGCUUCGGGGAGCUGCAAAUAAGCAUUGAUCCGGAGAUUUCUGAAUGAGGAAACUCACCUGGGUUCAUACUCAGGUACGUUGUACUGAAAUUCAAAAUAGGUACAUCGGGGGAACCGCCUGAACUGAAACAUCUAAGUAGGGCGAGGAAGAGACAUCAAACGAGAUUCCGUAAGUAGUGGCGAGCGAACGCGGAAGAGGGCAAACCGAGAGUA
rnacentral:rRNA from 1 species